ACAGUAUUGGAAAUGUAGUUUCUACAUUUAUACGGGAUUUCCUGGUUCCACAACGGAAAAACCUGUACAAGAAACAUAUGGUGCACGAUUUAGGGGACAAAAUUCCCGUGGCUUCGUGUGUCAGGUCCUGACACCCUGACAAUUCUUGGGUUGCAAAUGAGGUAACAUCCACCUCAUUAGAUAUGCCAAAGUUGAAGUGGUGGUCAAAACAGACACGCGAAGAUGAUGGUUGUCUACAUUUCGUACAAGUGCCGUGCACCUGUUAAAACGUCAUAUUUUUGCGCUGUUUUCGAGUGUACAAAUCAAUCUAUCCAAAAAAGGGAAGGUUUUUCAGGGUUCUGCGGAAAUUUUAACGAAAAGGCGAAAGAAACUACAGAACAACGGCGUGAAAAGCUGCAACAUUCGUCUCCAAAUGAAAAGGAGCCGAGUCGAAAAUCGCAAGAGUUUCCAGUAAUUAGUUUGUGAAAGGUAUGAAAAUCAUCCCAAUGUCGUGUUUGGUGUUGUAAGUAAUUCUGAAAUGUGUAAUUACGCUGUAAAUAUUAAAAUCCCGUUUUGUCACACG